AGGGAGCUCCUGGAGUCUAUAGAAAUAAAAAAGAACAACAAUGCCAUAAAUGACAAGAAGGAUGUCCAAAAUUUAAACCAAAUUUAUUUUAACUUAAUUUGAACUAUACAAAAGAAAAUUUAGCACGCCCAUGAUGCGAAAUCAAUUAAUUAUUUAAUUGAUGUUUCAAACAUCGAUAAAACAUCACACUAAUUUUGACACAUUAUAAUUUAAACGUAAUGACUAGUGGGUGUAUUCCUAUUUUUUACCAUUGUUUUAUUUUGUGACGUAUAUUUAUCUAUUUAUGUAUUUCUGUUUCACUACCAACUUUGCAUGCAGGUCAUGUAAUAAUAAUUCUUGAAAAAGGCAUGGAUAUCCAGCCGAAACGUCGAAUAAAUAUGACAUAACAUCAUAGCCAUCUCUUCUUUUAUGAACCUAAACCCAA
rnacentral:lncRNA from 1 species